rnacentral:lncRNA from 1 species
UCUUCCUAUCAUCACUGGUCACAUGAUAAAGAUAAGAGGAGACACUCACGAUCAAGAAGCCGUUCAAGAUCUCAUUCACCGAGAAGGAAAUCAACAUCAAGACGUAAGGAUAGAGGGAGGGAUUAUUCCUACAGUCCUAGUCCAGAGAGGAGGAGGAGUAGUAAGAAUCUAAAAAAGACAAGAAGCACAAGAGAAGGUCUCCCUCUGUCUCUCCCUCAGUCUCUCCUCCUCCACGUAAAAGAGGUGGUUCUGAUAAAGGUGAAGGAGAGGAGGAGGAGAUGAAGGAAGAGGAAGAGUUCUCUGAUGGAAGUGCUCCUUCUGAGGAGGAGAGACAAUCAAGUCCUUCAGCAUCAGAA